rnacentral:piRNA from 1 species
AGGGCUGGACUAGGACAAAAUGGA